rnacentral:rRNA from 1 species
GACGAACGCUGGCGGCGUGCCUAAUACAUGCAAGUCGAGCGGAGUGAAUCGGGAGCUUGCUCCUGAUUCAUUUAGCGGCGGACGGGUGAGUAACACGUAGGCAACCUGCCUGUAAGACUGGGAUAACUAGCGGAAACGUUAGCUAAUACCGGAUAAUUCAGUGUCUCGCAUGAGGGAUUGAUGAAAGACGGAGCAAUCUGUCACUUACAGAUGGGCCUGCGGCGCAUUAGCUAGUUGGUGAGGUAACGGCUCACCAAGGCGACGAUGCGUAGCCGACCUGAGAGGGUGAACGGCCACACUGGGACUGAGACACGGCCCAGACUCCUACGGGAGGCAGCAGUAGGGAAUCUUCCGCAAUGGACGAAAGUCUGACGGAGCAACGCCGCGUGAGUGAUGAAGGUUUUCGGAUCGUAAAGCUCUG